AUUGAACGCUGGCGGCGCGCUUAACACAUGCAAGUCGAACGAGAACGGGUUAUAGCUUGCUAUAAUUGUCAGCUAAGUGGCGCACGGGUGAGUAAUGUAUAGGUAAUAUGCCUCUUACUAAGGGAUAACAAAUGGAAACGUUUGCUAAUACCUUAUACUCCUUAUUAACAGAAGUUAAUAAGGGAAAGAUUUAUUGGUAAGAGAUUAGCCUGUAUUGUAUCAGUUAGUUGGUGAGGUAAUGGCUUACCAAGACUAUGACACAUAACUGGUUUGAGAGGAUGAUCAGUCACACUGGAACUGAGACACGGUCCAGACUCCUGCGGGAGGCAGCAGUGGGGAAUAUUGCACAAUGGACGAAAGUCUGAUGCAGCAACGCCGCGUGGAGGAUGACACAUUUCGGUGCGUAAACUCCUUUUAUAUGAGAAGAUAAUGACGGUAUUAUAUGAAUAAGCACCGGCUAACUCCGUGCCAGCAGCCGCGGUAA
rnacentral:rRNA from 1 species